AGCAGCCGCGGUAAUUCCAGCUCCAAUAGCGUAUAUUAAAGUUGUUGCAGUUAAAAAGCUCGUAGUUGAACUUCGGGAUUUACCCAUUGGUCAGGCUUAAUUGUCUGUACUGGUGAGAUAAAUCUCUACCUUCUGAGGAACUUUCAUGCCAUUUAUUUGGUGUGAUGGGAAAUCAGGACUGUUACUUUGAAAAAAUUAGAGUGUUUAAAGCAGACUAUCGUCUGAAUACAUUAGCAUGGAAUAAUGAAAUAGGACGGACUGAUUCUAUUUCGUUGGUUUCUAGGAUCACCGUAAUGAUUAAUAGGGAUAGUUGGGGGCAUUAGUAUUCAAUUGUCAGAGGUGAAAUUCUUGGAUUUAUUGAAGACUAACUACUGCGAAAGCAUUUGCCAAGGAUGUUUUCAUUAAUCAAGAACGAAAGUUAGGGGAUCGAAGACGAUCAGANACCGUCGUAGUCUUAACCAUAAACUAUGCCGACUAGGGAUCGGACGAAGUAAUUUUAUAAUUGACGCGUU
rnacentral:rRNA from 1 species